rnacentral:rRNA from 2 species
AAAUCCUUUGGAAUAGGGUAUCAUAGAGGGUGAGAAUCCCGUCUUUGACUCAGUGCAUGCUACUAUGUGAUACGUUUUCAAAGAGUCGAGUUGUUUGGGAAUGCAGCUCAAAAUGGGUGGUAAAUUUCAUCUAAAGCUAAAUAUUGGCGAGAGACCGAUAGCGAACAAGUACCGUGAGGGAAAGAUGAAAAGAACUUUGAAAAGAGAGUUAAACAGUGCGUGAAAUUGUUGAAAGGGAAACGUUUGACACCAGUUAUGCGGGUGGAAAAUCAGUCUUUUGCAGUGGGGAGUUGUGGGCGUUCAGACCGCAAGGCUGGCGUUUGCUUCAUCUUUGUUGUAAGUGAUGCACUUUUUCAUUUGCAGGUCAACAUCAGUUUGCUCUGCUGGACAAAACUCCAAGGGAAGGUGGCAGCUUAGGCUGUGUUAUAGCCCUGGAGCGAUACAGUGGGGUGGACUGAGGUUUCGCAGUGUGUGCUUUCGGGCAAGGCUGACUGGGUGCUAUGGGAUCGUUCGGCGUACAAUGCAUGCAUUUUGCGUCGUGUCUUUUUCAUACUCGCUCAACUCGGCUCUUCCACGCUUAGGAUGUUGACUUAAUGGUUUUAACGACCCGUCUUGAAACACGGACCAAGGAGUCUAACAUAUAUGCAAGUGUUUGGGUGGCAAACCCAUGCGCGUAAUGAAAGUGAACGUAGGUGCGAUCCGCAAGGUGCAGCAUCGACCGAUCUUGAUAUUUUUGGAUAGAUUUGAGUAAGAGCAUAUAUGCUGGGACCCGAAAGAUGGUGAACUAUGCCUGAAUAGGGUGAAGCCAGAGGAAACUCUGGUGGAGGCUCGUAGCGAUUCUGACGUGCAAAUCGAUCGUCAAAUUUGGGUAUAGGGGCGAAAGACUAAUCG